AAUUCAUAUUAUUACGAUUUUAUUUUUUAUAUAAAUGCAUUUUAAUAUUUGAUUUUAAGAGCAUUUUUUAUUUCUUUUGUGCAAUAAACUAUUUUGUUGCUGUGUUAAACCAGUUGAGAACCUCUGCUCUAUACUUAUGUUUGAAUUACAGUGACAUCUAGUGGUUUUGUUUGAAACCACAAACGUGAGACCCUUCCGAACGUCUUUGUUUUCACAAAAGUAUACCUAUACAGAAUCAUACCAUUAAUACAAAAACAACUGUAAGAUGUGUAACGGUAUGAUGAUGUAUUGCUUGAUGUAUUGCAUUCUGAGAAUCACAAAACACUGAUAACAAUUCCUGAUAGUUUUUUUUUAUCUUUUCCAUCAACACUUAUUUGCAUGACAAGUGAUGAUCUUGCUGACAUAUCUGCUGCUGUAAUUGUUGAGUUUUGCUUGCUGCUGUUCUUCCAUGCAAUAAUGAAAUCACUUACAAAGAUUAUCACACUUAUCAGAAUGACUUAUGUCUUAUUUGCAAGACAAUCUCUUAACUAAAUGAUCACUGAUUUUACUCUUUGCAUACAUGCACAUGCGGUCCCAUUGUACAUUCAAGCUAAUCGUGACUAUGCAUGGCACAAUCAGGAUUUGUAGAAAUAAACAACACUGUAAACUGAAUAGGAAGAUGCAAUGGACAUAGAAACAUAUAAACCAUCACAAACAUCUGCUUGAGUAUAUAGAGUUUGCACAUUAAAAUUCAUUGACCUCAUCUAUAUAUAAAUGCACAAACAAAUGGCUUUCUGUUCGUUUAAGGUGUACAUAAAUAAUAUUAUUUGCAUAUAUUGAACAAAAAUGUUAUUUGGGACCAUGCUGAAUCUUCUGUCAGUUUUUAAAUCACUGCAUAUGAAAAGCAACAAGCAAGAGAAACAGGCAUCAAAGCACAAUGAGCUCUUCCCAAUUGAAAAUAUGCUUGAUAUCUUUCCAGGUGAUUUGUACAUAGUCUAGAACUAUGAUUUUGGGUCUCCAAAGUAUAUUUUCAAGGCUAAUUGUUUAUUUUAUUAGAUAUUUAUGUUGUUCUCUAUCACAAUAUACUGUACUGUAUGCAACACUGGGGGAAGGAGGAAGACAAUAGCUUGGACUGGUAAAGGUCUAUCACUGAAUGAAGGGAAAUCAAUAUGAUUGCACUAUUUUGGUUUUGUGUUUGAUGUUUUCUUUUGGUUUACAAUGCAAUAAAUAAACUAUGUAUGUGUGUAAACCCUCUUCCAGUAGUUAACUUAUCAUAUUGUACUAAUGUGACAACACUGACCCAAGUCUGAAAAAAGAAAGAAAAGUGUACUAUCUGAUGUUGAACAGAACUAUUGUGUGCUCUGGGGAAGAAAAAGAAUGUAAAAGAAAAUAAAAAAGAAAAAGAAUGGUC
ensembl:lncRNA